rnacentral:tRNA from 1 species
AUAUAAGAAAUGAUAUAUCAUAUAUGAUUUCGACUCAUAGUUAGGUGAUCAAACACCCUUAUAUU